rnacentral:tRNA from 1 species
GCCGAUGUGGCGAAAUGGCAGACGCAACGGACUUAAAAUCCGUUCUCGCGAAAAGCGAGGUAUGGGUUCGAAUCCCAUCAUCGGCACCU